UUGAUUUUCAUUCGAAAAUUUAUGUUCAGACUAAAUUUAGAAUUACAAGUUUUGAUUUUGGCGCUGCCGGCAGGCUAACAGACAACAGGACAGAUGCCCUGCAGCAAGCUACCGAAGCUAAUAAAGGUUUUGGUUCACAAAGGGUUUAACCAUUGCACGAGGCAACAGAAUUGUUAUCAUAAUGAUCCUUCCGCAGGUUCACCUACGGAAA
rnacentral:misc_RNA from 1 species